rnacentral:rRNA from 1 species
UACGGGGGGAGCAAGCGUUGUUCGGAUUUACUGGGCGUAAAGGGCGCGUAGGCGGCCUGUGCAAGUCAGUUGUGAAAUCUCCGAGCUUAACUCGGAACGGUCAACUGAUACUGCUCGGCUAGAGUGCGGAAGGGGCAACUGGAAUUCUUGGUGUAGCGGUGAAAUGCGUAGAUAUCGUAAGGAAGACCAGUGGCGAAGGCGGGUCUCUGGACAGUUCCUGACGCUGAGGCACGAAGGUCAGGGGAGCAAACGGG